rfam:Canis lupus familiaris chromosome X, whole genome shotgun sequence.
CGGGGGAGGCGGGAUCCUGGGCUGUGUCCCGGCGCCCUGUGUUCCGGAGCCUGCGCUGUUGGAUUCGCGCUCCCAGGCCGCGCAGCCCCCU